UUACAAACAGGUUUAUUGAAUCCUACUAUCCUGUUUAUUGGCUUAACAAACGUAUUAUAUCGGUUCAAUAAACGUAUUUUAGCAAAACAACCAUGAUGUUAUUCCGUUUGACAAACUGGUUUAGCAUUUGUCAGUUUCUUUUCAUAAACGUGUAGACAAAAUUUAUAGUGUAACAUCUCUUGAAAUCUCUAUUCUGCUUUCAAGAUGGCGAAGCCAAAAAUAAACAUUAAAAAGAUCGGAAAUUCUUUGUAUAAUUAUUAAUCUCGCAGUCAUGAAUCGAAGCUUAUAAUUUACAGAGUGGAAUUGAUUAAGGGUUAAAUUUGAAAAAAAUAUCGAAAACUUGUGGUCUUUGAGGCAUUUCAAAUCAUCGAUUGGCUGGAACAUGAUUUUUGGAAUCUCUCUACAGAUGGGUGGGCAGAUCAACCAGGGAUUCUGAAGUUGGAAACAAAAGCAAUGCUUCACGCGGAUGAUCCGGAGCUGAUGGCGGAAUGUACUAUAGCUAGAGAGCAGUGUAGCAACAAGCGGCGAUAGCUACAAUGCAACGGAAUUUAUAUUUUGUACACAGAAGGUUUGACUAAAAAUAUAGAAAAUAUGCAAAACCUUGUUUUGAUCGUUAAACAAAAGAAAACAUCAAGGAGUUGUAGAAAAUUCACACGAAUAAUUUAUUGGAACUACAAUCUUGAUUUUCAAACCAACCUGGAACGUUUAUUACACCAACAAUCAUGUUUGUCAAUUUAAUAAAAAUGAUUAUUGGGAUUACAAACAUCCUUCGCUUUGAUGACAACAAUCUCGUUUGUCGAACCCACAAACAUGUUAGGUUGAAUUUGGCAAACAUGUUAGCCGGCCCUGAGAUGACAAACAUGUUUGUGGGCUACGCCCAACAUUUUGCCAGAUUCACAAUCGGAUUUUUCUGC